rnacentral:snRNA from 1 species
ACGGAGAGACACCAUAUUCUGGAAGGUGGUUUUCCUAAGGUGAGGCACAUGCACUCCAGGUGUGCUAACCCCUUUAUUUUCCCCAGAUGCAGGAAACUUGACUGUCUUAUUUGUGGUAGCAGGGGACUGCAUUUCCACUCUCCCCU